rnacentral:rRNA from 1 species
CGAACGGGUGAGUAAUACAUCGGAACGUGCCCAGUUGUGGGGGAUAGCCCGGCGAAAGCCGGAUUAAUACCGCAUACGACCUACGGGUGAAAGCGGGGGAUCGCAAGACCUCGCGCAAUUGGAGCGGCCGAUGUCAGAUUAGCUAGUUGGUGGGGUAAAAGCCUACCAAGGCGACGAUCUGUAGCUGGUCUGAGAGGACGACCAGCCACACUGGGACUGAGACACGGCCCAG